CCAGACUCCUACGGGAGGCAGCAGUGGGGAAUAUUGCACAAUGGGGGAAACCCUGAUGCAGCGACGCCGCGUGAGUGAAGAAGUAUUUCGGUAUGUAAAGCUCUAUCAGCAGGGAAGAUAAUGACGGUACCUGACCAAGAAGCCCCGGCUAACUACGUGCCAGCAGCCGCGGUAAUACGUAGGGGGCAAGCGUUAUCCGGAUUUACUGGGUGUAAAGGGAGCGUAGACGGUAAUGCAAGUCUGGAGUGAAAUGCAGGGGCUCAACCCCUGAACUGCUUUGGAAACUGUAUGACUGGAGUGCAGGAGAGGUAAGUGGAAUUCCUAGUGUAGCGGUGAAAUGCGUAGAUAUUAGGAGGAACACCAGUGGCGAAGGCGGCUUACUGGACUGUAACUGACGUUGAGGCUCGAAAGCGUGGGGAGCAAACAGGAUUAGAUACCCGCGUACA
rnacentral:rRNA from 1 species